GACAGAGGUGCCAAGCGUUAGGCGGAAUCACUGGGCUUAAAGCGUGUGUAGGCGGAUCGUUAAGUACCUUGUGAAAUCCCACGGCUCAACCGUGGAACUGCUCGGUAUACUGGCGGUCUUGAGCCACCUAGGGGCAACUGGAACAAGCGGUGGAGCGGUGAAAUGCGUAGAUAUCAGGAAGAACACCCGUGGCGAAAGCGGCUCUCUGGAACGGUACUGACGCUGAGACGCGAAAGCGUGGGGAGCGAACAGG
rnacentral:rRNA from 1 species